rnacentral:lncRNA from 1 species
GUGACCAAGAGCCUCCUGGAGCAGAAGUCCUGCUAGUCGCCUCCGUCUGGGUACUAGCCCCCUAUUACUCUGCAGGCGUGUGAAGGAAGAAGGAAACUAGCCUCGGACUGUGCAGAUCGCAGCGCAAGUCUUGGCGAGAAGGAGCAAACUGCCUUGAUUGGAACAGUACUGAGGAGGGUCCAAGACUCUGUCCAUCUAGCACUGUGGAGGGAACUCUGACAGCAGAAGAUAAAGGAAGAAGGAAUUCACCAGACUUUGGUAGAGAUUCCUCAGGAGAGCUUCAAAAGCCAGGGAGAGGCUGAAGAUUACUACCCUGCACCAUUACUCAUCCUGGCACUAACAGCCCUCUUCAAUCAGGUGGAGACAGACCCUCUACUCUCCGGCCUG